AACGAACGCUGGCGGCAUGCCUAACACAUGCAAGUCGAACGAGACCUUCGGGUCUAGUGGCGCACGGGUGCGUAACGCGUGGGAACCUGCCCUUAGGUUCGGCAUAACUCCCCGAAAGGGGUGCUAAUACCGGAUAAUGUCUUCGGACCAAAGAUUUAUCGCCUUUGGAUGGGCCCGCGUUGGAUUAGCUAGUUGGUAGGGUAAAAGCCUACCAAGGCGACGAUCCAUAGCUGGUCUGAGAGGAUGAUCAGCCACACUGGGACUGAGACACGGCCCAGACUCCUACGGGAGGCAGCAGUGGGGAAUAUUGGACAAUGGGCGAAAGCCUGAUCCAGCAAUGCCGCGUGAGUGAUGAAGGCCUUAGGGUUGUAAAGCUCUUUUACCCGGGAUGAUAAUGACAGUACCGGGAGAAUAAGCUCCGGCUAACUCCGUG
rnacentral:rRNA from 1 species